UUUCUCACAGAAAUCAUCGCGAGUAAAACCUGCUCCAUGAAAUUAAAUAGCCGCAGACACUCUGUGCUAAGGUAGCAUAAUCACUUGACCUUUAAUUAAAGUCUAGAAUGAAAGGUUUAAUAUUUUAAAAACUUUAUUAUUUAUACUCUAUUAAAUUAAAAUAAAAAUAAAAAUAUUUUUAUGCCUAAAAAAGACGACAAGACCCUAUUGAACUUUACUGUAGUUUAACUGGGGCAGUUAAGUAAUAAUAUUUUUAUUAACCCUAAAUAACUAGAAGACCCAAUAAAAUUGACCAAUCGAAUAAGUUACCAUAGGGAUAACAGCGUAAUAAAUUUUAAUAGAUCAUAUAAAAAGAUUUGAUUACGACCUCGAUGUUGAAUUAUAUUAACUUUUUAAUGCAAUAAUUUUAAAAGUAAGUCUGUUCGACUUAUAAAAAUUUACA
rnacentral:rRNA from 1 species